UGAUUGGCUGAAGAGUCCUCACACCUGGCUUUGAACAGCUGACCUAAAGGUUAUCCCAUAAACCUGCAUACACACCGGCCCUUUGCGGAUAAGAUUGCCCACCGCUGUUCUAUACCAUUCCAGGUGGUCCUGGUAAUUAUUACCAUGUUCUAGAGAAUUCAGCUCAACUAUAAAAGGAGAACAGCUGAUGCAGUAAUCGGUUACUAGUCAACUGCAAGUCAUGGCUAUAAAACCAUAGAACUUAGUAAGGACCUCCAGCUGUGCAUUGCGGCUGAUCGCAAGAUGGGGAAAGACUUUAAAGUUAUUUACAAGUUAUAUCCAAGUUAUAUCCAAGUCUCCAGUGCCAGUAGCCACCGUGCAAAGGAUAAUCAAGAAGUACAAGAAAUGCCAACUUUGAAAAAUCUUAAAGAAUGUGGUAGGAAGCCAAAGGUGACCCCAGCGCUGGCAAGAAUGGUGGUGCAGGAGGCCAAGAAGGAUCCAAGGAUCACCAAUAGGAUCAUCCUGACAAAUUCUUGUACCAACACAAGGCAGGCAGGCACUAUACUGGACACAAGGCUGGUCUCCAUGGAUGCCAACUGAGGAGGACUCCACUUCUCCAAGACAGGCGAGAGAGAGCUAGCCUAGCCUUUGCAAACGCUCACCUGGACCUGAUUCUGUCAUCGGAUGCGAUGAAAAUGGAACUGUUUGGACACAGGGACGUAACUCUCUUUUGGUGAAAGAACGGAAAUGCAUUCAACCUCAUGAACAGCAUCCCCACGGUCAAGCGUGGUGGUGGGAAUGUAAUGCUUUGGGUUGGUCUUGUAAAAGGCAUCAUGAAAAAAUAGGACUACAUUAAGAUUCUGGGGGAAAACAUCAGGCAGUCGGCAGGACAAUUUGGCCUCAGGCAGCACUGGAUCUUCCAACAAGACAAUGAUCUAAAACAUACAGCCAAAUUGGUCAAGAAAUGGUUAACAGAACAUAAUAUCAACAUUUUGGAGUAGCCUAGCAAGAGUUCAGACCUGAAUUCCAUUGAGAAUCAGUGGAGGGAACUGAAGACUAGAGUGAUGGCAAGGAAGCCUUCCAACCUCAAGGACCAGGAGAUCUUUGCAAAAAAGUCCAUAAUCUCAGUGGAGACAUGCAAAAUGCUUGUUAGCAAUUAUAAGAACCGUCUGAUUGCUGUGAUGGCAAAAUAAACGCUUUGCCAUUGAUUAUUGAGAAAGGGUAUGUAUACUUUUGAACAUGGCAUUUUUCAUAAACAUCCAAAUAGUUUUUUUUUUUCAUUUAUAUCUUUUACCAUCUUUUGUCAGAUGUGCAUGCCAUUUCGAGCCAGAAGAAACCUAUUGGACAAAUAGAAAUUCAUAAUAGAUCAUUAUUUGGCAUGGGUAUGAGUAAUUUUGGGCUUAACAGUAAUUACAGCUUCAAUCAGGAUAAGACGGAAAACUUAAAACGAAUGACAAGUCGACCUUAUUCUUCACCACCGCACGAUACACGUCUGCACUACAGACAGACUUAACUUUCCCUUUAUGACGGAUUUCAAACAAGUUACGGUUAAGUUAACUCUAAUAUUUGAGGACUACUAACUACACAGACAGCUUAAAAACACACAGAUUUCACAGCACUUCCUAGGAUUGUCCAUGUAUCCUGUCACUGAAGAAAGUGUAAGCGAAGAAAAAACAGCCUGCGUUGUUUUCCACUGAACCUUGUUACCAAGGCAAACCAUUGAAGAGAGCAACUCAAAAAGAAGACAUUGUGAAGCACUAUAAUCGACUGGUGAAGACCACUGCCGAAUAAACACGUUCUAGUACACUUUUAUAAGCUAUUUUUGUACCAGUCUUUCGCGACUAAUUAGACUGAUUUAUGUUGAUGGGAGUGGAAGGGGACUGCAGCGCGUGAACUUUACCUUCCGGGAGAAUCCCAGUGCAAACUUUUGGAAGUCAAGAUUCCUUCCCUGGCGAAACACCGCGCUAUAGGAGAAAGGAUCCGUCACAAAGCGCGACGCCAAGAAAGGGGAUCCAGCCGUUCAUUAGCGGAGGUUCAUCCUGUUGCCUAUUGGGGUGAAGACAUUUAGAAGGCUACGCUGAGCAGCAGGUUGCUUCCAAGACAGCAGAACACAAGAAUAAGGUGAAGCCGGAGACAUUUGAUACGACCAGAAGCGACUUUCUAACGCCAGAGCUGACGUUAACUUAUCUGAUAGUUUCUCAUGAGGAUGACAUCAAGUGACCUUCAAAAGGAAUAAAAGGAAUGGGAAACAUUAAGUGCAGAUGUGAGGUGCACUGCUAGGACAGUUCAUAUCAGGUUGC